UUUCGCAAUGCCCGAAAGGGUGACGAAGCGACGCCGCGUGGGUGAGGAAGGCCUUCGGGUUGUAAAGCCCUGUCAGGAGUUAAGAAAUAUAAGUGCGCUAAUACCGCAUUUAUUUGACGAAGGCUCCAAAGGAAGUCACGGCUAACUCUGUGCCAGCAGCCGCGGUAAUACAGAGGUGGCAAGCGUUGUUCGGAAUUAUUGGGCGUAAAGAGCACGUAGGUGGGUUUGUAAGUCAGAUGUGAAAGCCUCCUGUUCAACGGGAGAAUUGCAUCUGAAACUACAGAUCUUGAGUGUAGGAGGGGAGAAUGGAACUUCUGGUGGAGCGGUGAAAUGCGUAGAUAUCAGAAGGAACGCCGGCGGCGAAAGCGAUUCUCUGGCCUAUUACUGACACUCAGUGUGCGAAAGCUAGGGUAGCAAACGGGAUUAGAUACCCCGGUAGUCCUAGCCGUAAACGAUGGGCACUAAGUAGAGGGGUUUUA
rnacentral:rRNA from 1 species